rnacentral:lncRNA from 1 species
AAACCCCUCUCCAGCCACAGCGCCAUUCCUAGACAAACAGGAGAUGGCUUCAUACAGCUGGCAGCCAUCUUCUGAGCUCAAGUGAUGGAAUCGUAUUUAUUCUGACUGUUGUGGCAAAGAUCCUAUUAUCCCCCCCUCAAGGAAAACAUCAGCUGCUACUUGAAGCCCGUCUGGUCGUGCGCCUGUGCGGUCUCAUCAGGUAGAGAUCCGAAGCAGGAUCUCAGGAUCGAAGAGGAUUCAUUCCAGCAGAGCGAUUGUCGAUCCUGAUCUUGCCUGUCGGUCAUGUCCGGACCACGGCUGGCAGGAACCUUCCCAAGCUGUGUGCUUCCUCUGGGACCUGCUGCACCUUCAGCAGGAGCUGGCCGACGUGGGAGAGACGUGGGUGGGCUGUAUCCAGGGCAGCUGGGACGGGUCC